AACGAACGCUGGCGGCAUGCCUAACACAUGCAAGUCGAACGAGACCUUCGGGUCUAGUGGCGCACGGGUGCGUAACGCGUGGGAACCUGCCCUUAGGUUCGGAAUAACUCCCCGAAAGGGGUGCUAAUACCGGAUAAUGUCUUCGGACCAAAGAUUUAUCGCCUUUGGAUGGGCCCGCGUUGGAUUAGCUAGUUGGUAGGGUAAAAGCCUACUAAGGCGACGAUCCAUAGCUGGUCUGAGAGGAUGAUCAGCCACACUGGGACUGAGACACGGCCCAGACUCCUACGGGAGGCAGCAGUGGGGAAUAUUCGACAAUGGGCGAAAGCCUGAUCCAGCAAUGCCGCGUGAGUGAUGAAGGCCUUAGGGUUGUAAAGCUCUUUUACCCGGGAUGAUAAUGACAGUACCGGGAGAAUAAGCUCCGGCUAACUCCGUG
rnacentral:rRNA from 1 species